GGGACUUACAGUAUCAUAAGAAAGAUAGACAUUUAAAUCAUCUCAACAAGGACAAUGGACAUCAUGGAAUCACACAGCAGGAGAACCUCGCCUAGUCUACCGAUCAGGAUACUCCAUGCAGUUGUCACCUCCUCUAUGAAGCCUCUCCUGCCCCUUCCAAGUAGAACUGUCCAUUCCAUCUGUGGCAGAGUCUGGCUACAUGUUCAUCAAACCCUGUUUCAAAUAUCCUCCUCUGCAUGUCAUUACACUGUAUCUCCCAGCCCCCUUGCAUCUACAUGAGGCCGCAUGACCACAUGCUGGGUCACUUCUGGGCCAAAAUGGUAUUGGAGAGUCCAUCUUCUCCACUCUGGCUCUCUUUCCAUGCACCAGAUAGGUGAUUUUUAGUGAUCUUUAGUGGAAGAUGAAACAGGUCUGUAUCUCUAAAUGACUUUGUGGAGUGGAGCUUCCCUUCCCAAGC
rnacentral:lncRNA from 10 species